rnacentral:rRNA from 1 species
UACGAAGGGGGCUAGCGUUGUUCGGAAUUACUGGGCGUAAAGCGUGCGCAGGCGGCUUCUCAAGUCAGGGGUGAAAGCCCAGAGCUCAACUCUGGAAUUGCCUUUGAGACUGAGUGGCUUGAGUACGGGAGAGGUGAGUGGAAUUCCCAGUGUAGAGGUGAAAUUCGUAGAUAUUGGGAAGAACACUGGUGGCGAAGGCGGCUCACUGGCCCGUAACUGACGCUCAUGCACGACAGCGUGGGGAUCAAACAGG